rnacentral:rRNA from 1 species
GACGAACGCUGGCGGCGUGCUUAACACAUGCAAGUCGAACGGUGAAGCGCCUUCCUUUUUGGUGGGUGUGGAUGAGUGGCGAACGGGUGAGUAACACGUGAGUAACCUGCCCCCUUCUUCUGGAUAACCGCAUGAAAGUGUGGCUAAUACGGGAUAUUCUGGGUCUGUCGCAUGAUGGGUCUGGGAAAGAUAUUGUUUCGGUGGGGGAUGGGCUCGCGGCCUAUCAGCUUGUUGGUGGGGUGAUGGCCUACCAAGGCGGUGACGGGUAGCCGGCCUGAGAGGGUGGACGGUCACACUGGGACUGAGACACGACCCAGACUCCUACGGGAGGCAGCAGUGGGGAAUAUUGCACAAUGGGCGCAAGCCUGAUGCAGCGACGCCGCGUGAGGGAUGGAGGCCUGCGGGUUGUGAACCUCUUUCGCCAGUGAAGCAGGCCUGCCUCGUUUGUGGGUGGGUUGACGGUAGCUGGAUAAGAAGCGCCGGCUAACUACGUG